UACGAAGGGGGCGAGCGUUGUUCGGAUUUACUGGGCGUAAAGGGCGCGUAGGCGGCGCGAGAAGUCGAGUGUGAAAGCCCCGGGCUCAACCUGGGAAUGGCGCUCGAUACUCUUGUGCUUGAGUUCGGGAGAGGAGCGUGGAAUUCCCAGUGUAGAGGUGAAAUUCGUAGAUAUUGGGAAGAACACCGGUGGCGAAGGCGGCGCUCUGGACCGAGACUGACGCUGAGGCGCGAAAGCGUGGGGAGCAACCGG
rnacentral:rRNA from 1 species